UGAAUAGGAGCACUAUUCACCUUUUCAGCAUGCAGUCAGUGUGCUCGCAGAACUUUGGAUUGCAUCUUCACCUUCACCAAAUGUCUUAAGAGUGGGCAAGAUCAGACGACCAAGUGUAUUUUACCCUGACGUCACGGCUGAGCAGAAAGCAACGCAGGCCUAUUCCUGACUCCCUGGAGACACGAGGGACGAGUGGUUAUUUCUGACUCUGGAAAGAUGGUCGUGACUAAUUGAUUCGACAUCUGAUAGAAUGCACGUAACAUCUCUUUUCCCCGGCUGCUCGAGCCGCGCCACUUGCUCAGAUGAGCAGGAACUAUGAAUGCAUUGUGCGCGUUGUGUAUUUAUGUACUGUGCUGCUACGUUUGAUACGAAAAAUGUGUUUAUGCCAGCACUGUCUGUGUUCAUCUACGAACCCCAUGUAGUGUUGUCCCUGGCAAUCUGAAUUAUUACUGGACUGUUUGAUGUCUUCCUCAGAGAGACUAAACUCUGUUUACCAGUGCAAUCCCACUGGCCCUAAAACAAUAGAUAAUAUGGCUAGCACUCAAAACACUCUCACUUAUGUAUCUGUUAGAUCGCUUUGUAUUGUUUUUACGUGUUCUCGAGAUGUUGCACCACAUAAACACAAUUGAUCCCCAGAGGUGAACUGCUGUAGAAACGAAUAUAAUUCACUUCUUAAAGUUUAGUUCUCUCUUUCUGGCAUUAUCUUCUGCUGCCAUACCACACAGCCCUGUGUUUUUGUCUUUGUGGGUUAGUUUUGGGUAGAGUCCAGAGAGCUAAUGAAGCAGUUCUGAUGGGCUAACUCCCACAGGUCUUGAAGCUGUGGCAGGCUAAUGUUGAUGCCCACUCCCAAGUACUUAAUUGAUCUAAUCAUUUAGCCGAUUGGUCAGAGUUAUCAGUCUCCGGUGGACACACAUGGGAUAAACAAUGACAUGUGGUGAGUUGCUGCAGGCUGGUUUCCCCUCUGGAUGUGUCAUGGAAUGAAAGGAGGAAUCCUGACAAAUAAAGAUGCUCUAUGCAUUACCUU